rnacentral:hammerhead_ribozyme from 4 species
UGCUGAGGAGUCCCAUACUAGGACGAAACGGCCGUCCAGUGC